GUUUCCAUUAUAGAGUUCUUCAACAGAAGACUCUGACCUUAAUCUACCGAGAACUGGCCAGAUUCACCUUGAUGGAGGACCUCAGCGCACCUCACCGGACGACGACCCUCGUAAUCUGUGCUUGGGCUGGAUGGGAAGAUGUGGAGAUUACAAAAAUAAAGUAGUAACCGCGAAACAUAUAAUUAAACUAAUUCAAGAAACUGAGUUUAUCAUAAAACAUUAUCUAGAUCAAUAUUAUUAUGACUUUUUUUAUAAGGUUUUAAAUAACCUUAAGAUUGAUUUGAGACUUGAUCAAUCAAAUCAGUUUGCUUUUAUAAUUUUUAUUAAAAAGGACGGCAAAUUGGAUAGCGAAUAUCCAAAAGUGUAUUAUCCAGACAUUAAAACUAAAAGACAUAGUGAAGAUGAUAUAUUUGCUCUACUAAAAGACAUUCUUGAUAAAAAUGAUUGUCUGUAUAAGGAGGCACUGAUAUUUUCUUUGAAUAGUCCCUGUUUAGCAAGGCCCACAUCUACAUCUUGCUCGCAUCAAGCUAUUGAUAUUGUCACAAAAUUAUAUGAAAAGCAUGGAAUGAAAAUGAUUAUUGGCUUUUAUAAACCCUGGGGCAUUAAUGGCUCAUAUGAGAAUAGUUUACCCGAUAAGCCUCUUAAAGAUUGCACUUACACUUUUAAGUCCCAAACACUGGGAAGUAUUGAUAGAAUUAUCUCUAACAUGACAACCAAAAAAAAAAAAGAAAAGUGGAAAAAGUGGAAAAAGAAUUAUUAGAAACUAUUUACAAAAACAUUACUCCAAAUGUACAAAACAAAGAAUUUUCAAUGGAAAAAGAAAAUGAAAUACCAGAAUAUAAUCUUGAGAAAUAUUGGUUAAAAAUAAAAAAUCCCCCCCCAAAAGAAAAGCUUGAUCAAAUUGAAUCCGAUUUAUUUAAAAAUCCAACAUUAAAUAAAACAUUUGAUGAUUUCAAAAAUCAUGGUUUGGAAAUAUUUGACAAAGUUCUGAAAGAUAUACCUCAUCUUUUAAGUGGUAACGAUUCAAAUUUAUCUGAUUGUUUAAAUUAUGAUUUUUAUUUAUAUGAAGAAAUCUGGUCAUAUCUGCAGAAUAUUUUCUUUCCUUGGUGGGCUAAGAAAGUGGAAGAUGCAUCCAGCAGGUUUUUAAAUAAGGAAAUCAGUCACCUUCUACAAGAAGUUGCUGUUUAUUUUUUUCUUAGUGGCAUAAAAAAAAUUGAACAUUAUUUUGUUAUUGGUUAUGUCAAGUAAUCUAAUGUGAACAUUCAAA